CCGAAGAUUUCCGAAUGAGGAAACUCACUUAGAGUAAUGUCUAAGUAUCAUUAAGUGAAUACAUAGCUUAAUGAGGGGAACUCAGGGAACUGAAACAUCUAAGUACCUGAAGGAAGAGAAAGAAAUUCGAUUCCGUAAGUAGCGGCGAGCGAACGCGGAUUAGCCCAAACCAAUAAAGUUUUCUUUAUUGGGGUUGCGGACAUAUCAUAACGAAGAGGUAUCGUAAUUGAAGAGGUUUGGAAAGACCCACCACAGAAGGUAAUAGUCCUGUAUGUUAAACGAGAAGACUUUAGAUAUGAUCCAGAGUACCACGGGACACGUGAAGCCCUGUGGGAAGCAGGAGGGACCACCCUCCAAGGCUAAAUACUACCUAGUGACCGAUAGCGUAUAGUACCGUGAGGGAAAGGUGAAAAGAACC
rnacentral:rRNA from 1 species